rnacentral:snoRNA from 1 species
CCAAUGUGGUCAUCCAUCAAGGUUACUAUUGGCUCUGUCCAAGUGGUAUAUGGGAGCAUAGCCCUAAGUGCAGUGGUGUACAAUCCCCUUCCAGUAUUGAAGAGCAAGUCUGUCUCUGGUUCUAGAGCUGACGAGGACAGCAUCCUAUACAUUUUUUUAUAACUUCUCUGUCUCUAGACAGUUACUGAGGAGAAACCAUGCAGGGUGCAACU